rnacentral:lncRNA from 1 species
GAUAAUAAGAGAAAGAAAAGCUAAAGCUUUGGUAAGUUCUCCAUGUAGUUGCUGUAGACCUUGUUGAUUGGGCUUCUAAAGCUUUGGUUCAAGAGGUGUGUGGUUUACGAGAGAAAGAAAAGCUAUUUUGAUUUUGAGUUGGCUCACUUUAAAAAAACAAAACAAAAAAAAAAAGUGAUUGGGAGAUGAGGAGUUGAGCCAUUGCCUGGACUGAGGGCGUGUUUCUUUUUUUUCCUUUGGGAUUUUUUUUUUUUUUUUUUGGUUUGUUACAAUAAACUGAGAUUAAUUAUUCAACACUGAGAUUAAUUAUUCAACACUAAGAUUCAUUAUUAUUUGCUACCCACUCAUAUUGGGUGGGUUGUACAACUUAGCUUAGUUUUUGUCACAUUACAAUCACUUUAAUGCCCUACUUAAUUAUAAGCCCACAUUACAAGAGUCGGUAAUUACAAGAUCUGAUAUAAAUAUUUAUAAGUAUUUUCAGGACUAUCCUAAUUUUCAAGUGACAUACUUGUUCGUGUAGCGUCUGUUUGCGCCUCAUCCUCAGAUACAGCAAAAUAAAACAAAACAUUUGUAAACCAUGAACUGAAUAGGAAAGUUUCAAAAUGGGAUUCUACAAACAAUCAUGAACCUUAUGAAUG